UGAGUACGAGACGCUAAGGCGUCGAAGUAGUGGAUGUCAUACUUCCAAGAAAAGGUUGCACUGUCAUAAUUAAAAAACGCCUGUACCAUAACCGACACAGGUGGGUAGGUAGAGUAUACUAAGGGGCGCGAGAUAACUCUCUCUAAGGAACUCGGCAAAAUGACUCCGUAACUUCGGGAGAAGGAGUGCCUUAUUCGUAAGGCUGCAAUAACAAGAUCCAAGCAACUGUUUAUCAAAAACACAGGUCUCCGCUAAGUCGUAAGACGAUGUAUGGGGGCUGACGCCUGCCCAGUGCCAGAAGGUUAAAAAAGUCGGUUAGCAUUAGCGAAGCUGGUAACUGAAGCCCUGGUGAACGGCGGCCGUAACAAUAACGGUCCUAAGGUAGCGAAAUCCCUUGUCGGGUAAGUUCCGACCCGCACGAAAGGCGUAAUGAUUUGGAUACUGUCUCGGAGAGGGGCUCGGUGAAAUAGACUUGUCUGUGAAGAUGCGGACUACCUGCACCAGGACAGAAAGACCCUAUGAAGCUUUACUGUAACUUGAAAUUGAAAUUGGACUUUAUUCGCGCAGUAUAGGUGGGAGGUGUUGAUUAUAAUCUUGCGGGAUUAUUGGAGCCAUCAGUGAGAUACCACUCUUGUAAUGUUAGAUUUCUAACUUUGAAUCAUUAUCUGGUCAAAGAACAGUUUCAGGCGGGCAGUUUGACUCGGGCGGUCGCCUCCUAAAUGGUAACGGAGGCGUACAAAGGUUUCCUCUGAACGGGUAGAAAUCGUAUCUAGAGUGUAAAGGCAUAAGGAAGCUUGACUGUGAGACCUACAAGUCGAGCAGGGACGAAAGUCGGUCUUAGUGAUCUGACGGUACUGAGUGGAAAGGCCGUCACUCAACGGAUAAAAGUUACUCUAAGGAUAACAGGCUGAUCUCCCCCAAGAGUUCACAUCGACGGGGAGGUUUGGCACCUCGAUGUCGGCUCAUCGCAUCCUGGGGCGGUAGUACGUCCCAAGGGUUGGGCUGUUCGCCCAUGAAAGCGGUACGCGAGCUGGGUUCAGAACGUCGUGAGACAGUUCAGUCCAUAUCCGGUGUAGGCGUUAGAAUAUUGAGAGGAGCCUUCUUUAGUACGAGAGGACCGAGAAGGACAUACCUCUGGUGUACCAGUUAUCGUGCCAACGGUAAACGCUGGGUAGCUAUGUAUGGAGUGGAUAACCGCUGAAAGCAUCUAAGUGGGAAGCCCACCUCAAGAUAAGUAUUCU
rnacentral:rRNA from 1 species